GCCAUCACAGAUUAGCCACUAACCCAAAUUUUAUGGGUCCUGGUUUAACGAAAUGAAGUGGGCUGCAGCAUGUGACGCUGCACGCCUUGGAUCCCAGCACUCAGGAGGCAGAGGCAGGCAGAUCUUUGUGAGUUUAAAGCCAGCCUCCUUGUCUACAUGGAGUGCUCCAGGCCAACCAGAACCCUGCUUAAAAAGACAGACAGAUGGACAGACAGACAGAUGGACAGACGGACAGAUGGACAGACAGACGGGGGCUGGAGAGAUGGCUCAGAGGUUAAAAGUACUGUCUACUCUUCCAGAAGUCCUGAAUUCAACUUCCAGCAACUAUUUGGUGGCUUACCUGUAAUGAGGUCUGGUGCCCUCUUCUGGCCUGCAGGCAUACAUGCAGGCAGAAAGCUGUAUGAUGUAUACAUAAUAAAUAAAUAUUUUUUAAAAAAAGAAAGAAAAGGGGUUGGGGAUUUAGCUCAGCGGUAGAGCACUUGCCUAGCAAGCGCAAGGUCCUGGGUUUGGUCCCCAGCUCCGGAAAAAAAAAA
rnacentral:lncRNA from 1 species